CUGUUACUACUGUAAGGAGAAUUGUAUUAGAAGGUGACCUUAACAAUGCUGUGUUUGCAACGCCUGGAAAACGCCGGAAGGGGCGUCCAAAAAAGGAACUGGACAAUUUCGACCUGGUGCCAUUAGGCAAAAGGUGCCAACUCUAAGAAGUCCGCUUCCAAUAGUGAAAGAAGACCUGGGUUUUUAUGGUAGCCAGGAACACCUGAGAAAAGUACUUCAUGCUCUUGGGUUCAGAUCUUGCUGCAUCACGAUAACGCCUCUUCACAUACGUCCCUCAGAACAAAGGCGUUUAUUGAGAAAGCUGGGAUAGAAACCUUACCACAUCCACCCUGCAGUCCUGGCUUAGCUCCCUGCAAUUUCUUUUUGUUCCCGGUGGUGAAAGAAAAAAUAAAAGGGAAGUUUUUUUCGAGUGCUGAAGAAGCCGUGGCUGCAUAUGAAGAAGCAAUUUCGGACCUAUCUGAUGAAGACUGGCAAAAGUACUUCCAAAGUUGGUUCAGGCGUUAAGACGAAUGGAACUUUGUAUAGAGAGUAAAGAAGAGUAUUUUGAAAAAAUGUAAAAUAAAUAAUACUAAUAUC